GUCCUUUAGAAUUUAUUAUUUAAGGUCUAGCCUGCCCACUGAAAUAUUUUAAAUGGCCGCAGUAAAUUGACUGUGCAAAGGUAGCAUAAUCAUUAGUUUUUUAAUUAAAAGCUUGAAUGAAUGGUUUGACGAAAUAAAAUCUGUCUCUAAAUAAUAGUAAGAAUUUAAUUUUUAAGUUAAAAAGCUUAAAUUAAAAUAAAAGACGAGAAGACCCUAUAGAUUUUUAUAUUAAAUUUAAUAAUUUUAUUUAGGAUUUUUUUUAUAAUUAUUAUUUUUAUUAUUAUAUUGGGGUAAUAGGAAGAUUAGUAAAAUUCUUUUUAAAUUGAAACAAUAAUAAUUGUUUAUUUGAUCCUUAAUUUAAGAUAAUAAGAUUAAGUUACCUUAGGGAUAACAGCGUAAUUUUUUUAAAGAGUUCAUAUCGAUAAAAAAGUUUGCGACCUCGAUGUUGGAUUAAAAAUUAUUCCAGGUGUAGAAGUUUGGAAAUUUUGGUCUGUUCGACCAUUAAAUUUUU
rnacentral:rRNA from 1 species